rnacentral:piRNA from 1 species
UCUGGGAUGUGCGGUGACCCUAAGAUGU